UACAGAGGGGGCAAGCGUUGUUCGGAAUUACUGGGCGUAAAGGGCGCGUAGGUGGCCUUCUAAGUUGAACGUGAAAUCCCUGGGCUCAACCCAGGAACUGCGUCCGAUACUGGAAGGCUUGAAUCCGGGAGAGGGAUGCGGAAUUCCGGGUGUAGCGGUGAAAUGCGUAGAUAUCCGGAGGAACACCGGUGGCGAAGGCGGCUUCCUGGACCGACACUGACGCUGAGGCGCGAAAGCUAGGGGAGCAAACGGG
rnacentral:rRNA from 1 species